GCUCGACGGCCUCCGGCUGCAGCUUGA
rnacentral:sRNA from 1 species